rnacentral:rRNA from 1 species
GACGAACGCUGGCGGCGUGCUUAACACAUGCAAGUCGAACGGAAAGGCCCUGCUUUUGUGGGGUGCUCGAGUGGCGAACGGGUGAGUAACACGUGAGUAACCUGCCCUUGACUUUGGGAUAACUUCAGGAAACUGGGGCUAAUACCGGAUAGGAGCUCCUGCUGCAUGGUGGGGGUUGGAAAGUUUCGGCGGUUGGGGAUGGACUCGCGGCUUAUCAGCUUGUUGGUGGGGUAGUGGCUUACCAAGGCUUUGACGGGUAGCCGGCCUGAGAGGGUGACCGGCCACAUUGGGACUGAGAUACGGCCCAGACUCGUACGGGAGGCAGCAGUGGAGAAUAUUGCACAAUGGGCGGAAGCCUGAUGCAGCAACGCCGCGUGCGGGAUGACGGCCUUCGGGUUGUAAACCGCUUUCGCCUGUGACGAAGCGUGAGUGACGGUAAUGGGUAAAGAAGCACCGGCUAACUACGUG